rnacentral:rRNA from 1 species
GUUUACGGCCAUACCACCCUGAAUAAGCCCAAUCCCGCCUGAUCUCAGAAGCUAAGCAGGGUCAGGCCUGGUUAGUACUUGCGUGGGAGACCACCAAGAAAGACCAGGUGCUGUAAAUG